CCUUUUUUUCUGUAUCUCCAUAAGGUCACCAGCGCUGGCUACCAGACGGUGCUGUCGUCGUGCUGGUACCUGAACUACAUCAGCUACGGCGUCGACUGGCACAAGUACUACGAGUGCGACCCCCAGGAGUUCAACGGUACGGCGGCGCAGCAGCAGCUGGUGCUGGGCGGCGAGGCGUGCAUGUGGGGCGAGUACGUGGAUCGCACCAACCUGAUCUCCCGCACGUGGCCGCGGGCAUCCGUCGUGGCGGAAAAACUGUGGAGCGCUGCCGCGCACACCGCCGACGCAGACGCCGCUGCGCCCCGCCUGGAGGAGCACCGGUGCCGACUCCUCGGCAGGGGCUACGACGUUGAACCGCUCUGGCCGUCCUUCUGCCCGUCCGACCUCUAGAGCCGAGGACGAUGUCUGCGAACCGCGAAGGACCGGUCUCCUCCAUCCUGUGCAAUGGCCCGGGAUUUUGUACGCAUAAAAAGACAAGAGAAAAAAAUAAACCAUCGUAUCAUA